rnacentral:lncRNA from 1 species
UUUCAAAGGUGCUGGAGGGUUAGUUUUAUUUAAAGAAAAGGAGAGUAGGAGUUCCCGUUGUGGCUCAGCGGAAAUGAAUAUAACUAGUAUCCAUGAGGACGCAGGUUUGUUCUGGCCUCGCUCAGUGGGUUAAGGAUUUGGGUAUUGCUGCGAGCUGUGGUUCGCAGACGCGGUUUGGAUCCCAUGUUGCUGUGGCUGUGGUGUAGCCUGGCAGCUGCAGCUCAAUUCGACCCCUAGCCUGGGAACCUCCAUAUGCCCCCAGUGUGGCCCUAAAGACCAAACAAAAGGAAAAGAAGAGUAGAGCUUUGAGCUUGGUCCAUGGCAGGUCUUGCUCAAAGCUGCUGCCUCCAGGAAGCCUUCCCUGGUAGCUUCUAUUCACACUUUGUUCUUCCCCUAAUUGCCCUGUUACCCUCCUGCUGACAUAGGAAAGAAACAGAUGCGACAUCGCCUCUAUCCAGGCGAGGAAGUGACCCCAUGUCUGUGGAAGGUCUGAGGAUGCCCGGAAGGCGAGGCCUCGUGGCUGAGCAGGGUCAGGGUUCUGCUCCCCUUUGACCCGCUCCAUGAGUGGCCUCCCACCUCCUCCCCCGCUGCCCCCUCUCCUCCCGUGAAAUCAGCAGCUCUUGGAGGAGGAGGAGGCCUGGCAGCUUGGAAAGCAGAAAGCCCUGGAGACAGGACAGCCGGGGAGGGGAGGCCGAGGCGUGGGGGCAGGCAGGGUGCCCCUCCCCCACGUGUCUUGGGAUCUGUUCUGGGGGCAAAGGGGGAAGCCGAGGCUUGGCCCCCACAAACAAGAAAAACUGGAAUUAGCCCUGAACUCAGAGAGGGUUUGCUGGGGCUUAGCAAGCUGUGGCCUGCCCCAGGCCUCUAGGCAGGCACUGGGGCUCAGCCUCCCUGGUUCCCAGGCGGCGGGGCAGGCUGCCGCCUCCUCACUGGGCCUUGAGGCCUUUCCUCCGCCAAGGGCGGUCCUGGGGGAGGAGGAGGCAAGACACGGGGCAGAGAGACAGAGAGGGCGGGGGUGGGGGGCAAGUCACCCCGAUAACCAGGCAGGUAGGUAAAGCAAAACCUUGCAGACUUUAAAAAGAACGUGUAAUUUCUCGAAACGGUCCCAGCCCACGUUGGCUUAGAACCGUCAGCUGCUCCAGUGACCGUUUCCCCGGGGUGUAAACAGAAGGUAAGAAGAGUUUUGCCUUUUUACCCUCAGAGAGAGUAAACUCUGAAAGCCCUGCCAGGCUCCAGGGCUACUUCCUCCCAGGCCCUGUGCUUUCAGGCAUGAGGGUGUGUGCCCUCCUGUGGUUGGCAAUUGCUGCUGCUAAGGGGGUGCCCGGGGCCUGUCCUCACGGGGCGGUCAUCGCAGUGGGGGGGCUUGGCCCAGGGUGGGCACGGUGGAGAGGCAGACGCUGGGGCUGGCUCCUUGCUGGGUGGCAUGUGUGGAGCACCCAGCACAGGCCUGCCGGGGGCUCCCCAUCUUGGGUGGGCAGGGCAGGCCCUGCUGGGGUAGGCGGCGACCACACAGCCCAGAGCCAACAGGGAGGGGUGGAGGGUCCUACUGCUUGUGGCCUCUGCCUGGCCCCCCACGGUCCGGCCUGAGGGCUGUGGCAAAGCAAGGUAUGAGCAAGGCUCCUGGGGAGCCAGAGCUGUGAGGGAUCUGGAAGGGAGUGUGGUCAAAGGGCCUCUGGAGCCUGGCAGUCCAGUGCCAGGCCUGCCCGAGUCCCCAAGAGGCCGUGGCAACUUCAGGCAGAGAGUCCCUCUCCUCCUCCCNNNNNNNNNNNNNNNNNNNNNNNNNNNNNNNNUCCCCCCACCCCCAACACCAGGAGACUCUUCGGGCUUUGGUAUCCUCAGCCUGGAGCCUUGUCCUCCUCCUGCCAUUUAUUUGCCUUGGUUGGGAGAAGUCACCCCUUAAUGUGCAGAGGGGCUCGGGAUGGGUGGAGAGCUCAUGAGGCCAGGAUCUCCGCCAGAGAAUAUGCUGCGAUUAUUUACAAAUGUGACCUGGCCCAAAGACAACCUUGGAAGUAGCUUUCCUCGUUUUAAAAAGACACCAAAACUGACUUUGAUAUGUUUAUAUUAUAGAUAUAAUACAUAAACAUCUAGCAUGAAACUCUACGUUCUCCCCCAAAGAAGAGAACCAAGCUGGCCUUCCCCGCUCCCAGGCCCAGCGAUCUGAUGUGUGUGUGCUGGCCGGAGGCUGCCUCCCUUCCAGACCGGGAGCCAGGGCCUCUGUUUGGGGCGGGGAGGGGGGGGACAAGCCUGUGGGCAGCCAGGGCUGGAGGGGACCGAGGCCCACAGCCCCCCCCCCCGGGGUGGGGGAAGCUGAGGGGAAAGGGGAAGCCCACCUCGCCUCUUUGGUUCCCCUGGGAGCAAAAGCAAUCCCAAAACCAAAAGGAAAGACAGCCGCAGACCCUCCCUGCAGCUGCUGACGAAGAGUCUCAUUUUGGCAAGUAUCUGAGCAAAACCAAAACAAAACAAAAACCAAAUAAAAUGGUGGUUUAGCAUAGACGUGCACAUUCACAUUGCACAAGGCACCGCUGGGACACAGAGAGGCCAGAUACAAAUGUUGAUAUCGGCUGAUAAAGCAAAAUAUUUGGAAAGCUUCUCAUAACUUCGGUCCCUCUGGGAUGGACUGAUUGUGCUUCGUGUUUGUAUGGCAAUGCUGGCGACAUACAGUACAGACAAGACUGGUGGUCCCAGUGUCCCAUUACCACCCCCACCCCACCUCGUCCCACCCCCCAGACCAGAUCUCUAGGUUCCCUGCUCCCACCGGGCCACCACCCCCAGGAACAUAUGGCCUCAGAGCUAACCCAGGACCUAGUUUUCUCAUCUGACUGGGGGCAGGAGACUCCCACUGGUCACCUGGUGACUCCUAUCUCAAAUGAGUCCAGCCGCAAGAGCCCAGCCUGUGGCAGGCUGGGAGUUCAGAGGCAAGGAACUUGGGACCCUCCACCUUCAUAUAGAACUAGGGGAACAACCUUAGGUUCAAAGCCCCAAGUCCCUGUGUUUCCUCCCCUCCAAGGACAGGCGCUGAGGAGCGGCUGGGGCUGGUUUAUAGGGAUCUCUGCUCCCUGAACCUUCCUCCUGCCCCCCCCCC